rnacentral:rRNA from 1 species
GCCUCAGUAACGGCGAGUGAAGCGGCAACAGCUCAAAUUUGAAAUCUGGUCCUUGCGGCCCGAGUUGUAAUUUGCAGAGGAUGCUUUUGGCGCGGUGCCUUCCAAGUUCCCUGGAACGGGACGCCUUAGAGGGUGAGAGCCCCGUACGGUUGGACACCAAGCCUUUGUAAAGCUCCUUCGACGAGUCGAGUAGUUUGGGAAUGCUGCUCUAAAUGGGAGGUAUAUUUCUUCUAAAGCUAAAUACCGGCCAGAGACCGAUAGCGCACAAGUAGAGUGAUCGAAAGAUGAAAAGCACUUUGAAAAGAGGGUUAAACAGCACGUGAAAUUGUUAAAAGGGAAGCGCUUGUGACCAGACUUGCGCCCGGUGAAUCACCCAGCUCUCGCGGCUGGGGCACUUUGCCGGCUCAGGCCAGCAUCAGCUUGCCGUCGGGGACAAAAGCUUCGGGAACGUAGCUCUCUUCGGGGAGUGUUUAUAGCCCGUUGCACAAUACCCUUCGGCGGGCUGAG